AUGGAUAGUUGUCCCAUCUUGUUCUGGAAUAUCCGGGGCCUUAACACCCCGGCGCGGAGAGGAGUGGCUAGGAGAUUAGUCAGCCAGUUCAAUGUAUCAGUCGUAUGCUUUCAAGAGUCAAAGUUGAGUGUUGUGGACCAGGAUCUGAUCAAGCAAUGUUGUGGAGCAGCGUUUAAUUCCUUUGUCUUCCAACCGGCCGCGGGAACCAGGAGAGGCAUUAUCUUUACUUGGAAAGGAGCAGAGAUUCAGAUAACCUAUAGUCACUGCACCGCUAGUUGGAUUGAGUUGCGCUGCUUACACCGCCGGUCUGGUAAAUGUUGGAGGAUGUUUGGUGUAUAUGGCCCCCAAAGAGAUGAUGAGAAGAUUGCCCUUCUGGCUGACCUCGAAGCCGCCAUGGCCGGCACUACCAUGCCCACUAUUUGUGCUGGAGAUUUUAACAUGAUCAGUGCAGCAUCUGAUAAGUCUAAUAAUAGAAUUAAUCGCCGCAUGCUUAACGCUUUCGCCGUUUCAUCAGUGACAUGGCACUCAAAGAUAUGUACCUACACGAAAGGACCUACACUUGGUCCAACGAGCAACAAGCUGCCACAUUGGUCAAGCUCGACUGGGUCCUGUACAAUGAGGCAUGGCAUGACUCUUUUCCGGCCUGCCUACUGCAAGGCAUUACCACAGCGAUGA
rnacentral:rRNA from 1 species